CGCUAGCUACAGGCUUAACACAUGCAAGUCGAGGGGCAGCAUUUCAGUUUGCUUGCAAACUGGAGAUGGCGACCGGCGCACGGGUGAGUAACACGUAUCCAACCUGCCGAUAACUCGGGGAUAGCCUUUCGAAAGAAAGAUUAAUACCCGAUGGCAUAAUUAGACCGCAUGGUCUUAUUAUUAAAGAAUUUCGGUUAUCGAUGGGGAUGCGUUCCAUUAGGCAGUUGGUGAGGUAACGGCUCACCAAACCUUCGAUGGAUAGGGGUUCUGAGAGGAAGGUCCCCCACAUUGGAACUGAGACACGGUCCAAACUCCUACGGGAGGCAGCAGUGAGGAAUAUUGGUCAAUGGGCGCAGGCCUGAACCAGCCAAGUAGCGUGAAGGAUGACUGCCCUAUGGGUUGUAAACUUCUUUUAUAUGGGAAUAAAGUUUUCCACGUGUGGAAUUUUGUAUGUACCAUAUGAAUAAGGAUCGGCUAACUCCGUGCCAGCAGCCGCGGUAAUACGGAGGAUCCGAGCGUUAUCCGGAUUUAUUGGGUUUAAAGGGGGCGUAGGUGGACAGUUAAGUCAGUUGUGAAAGUUUGCGGCUCAACCGUAAAAUUGCAGUUGAUACUGGCUGUCUUGAGUACAGUAGAGGUGGGCGGAAUUCGUGGUGUAGCGGUGAAAUGCUUAGAUAUCACGAAGAACUCCGAUUGCGAAGGCAGCUCACUGGACUGCAACUGACACUGAUGCUCGAAAGUGUGGGUAUCAAACAGGAUUAGAUACCCUGGUAGUCCACACAGUAAACGAUGAAUACUCGCUGUUUGCGAUAUACAGUAAGCGGCCAAGCGAAAGCAUUAAGUAUUCCACCUGGGGAGUACGCCGGCAACGGUGAAACUCAAAGGAAUUGACGGGGGCCCGCACAAGCGGAGGAACAUGUGGUUUAAUUCGAUGAUACGCGAGGAACCUUACCCGGGCUUAAAUUGCAUUUGAAUAUAUUGGAAACAGUAUAGCCGUAAGGCAAAUGUGAAGGUGCUGCAUGGUUGUCGUCAGCUCGUGCCGUGAGGUGUCGGCUUAAGUGCCAUAACGAGCGCAACCCUUAUCUUUAGUUACUAACAGGUCAUGCUGAGGACUCUAGAGAGACUGCCGUCGUAAGAUGUGAGGAAGGUGGGGAUGACGUCAAAUCAGCACGGCCCUUACGUCCGGGGCUACACACGUGUUACAAUGGGGGGUACAGAAGGCAGCUACCUGGUGACAGGAUGCUAAUCCCAAAAGCCUCUCUCAGUUCGGAUCGAAGUCUGCAACCCGACUUCGUGAAGCUGGAUUCGCUAGUAAUCGCGCAUCAGCCAUGGCGCGGUGAAUACGUUCCCGGGCCUUGUACACACCGCCCGUCAAGCCAUGAAAGCCGGGGGUACCUGAAGUACGUAACCGCAAGGAGCGUCCUAGGGUAAAACUGGUAAUUGGGG
rnacentral:rRNA from 1 species